rnacentral:rRNA from 1 species
CUGCUGCCUCCCGUAGGAGUUUGGACCGUGUCUCAGUUCCAAUGUGGCCGAUCACCCUCUCAGGUCGGCUACUGAUCGUCGCCUUGGUGAGCCGUUACCUCACCAACAAGCUAAUCAGACGCGAGCUCAUCCAUAUCCGAUAAAUCUUUGAUGGAAAGAAGAUGCCUUCAAACCAUAUUAUGCGGUAUUAUCAGUCGUUUCCAAC